GUUCCUGCACCACGGAACAGAGAUUAUGUGGAAGAGAGACAAUUUAUGACUGUCUCCAGGACUCCCCUCAGUCCUCUGUAGAGGAAGGAACACUGCUAUGUUUGAGGACUGUUGUCUUUUAUUGGAAAUCAAGAGUAAGAAACGCACGGAGGACUCUCUCAGCGGCUGCAGAGGCGAUGAGCCACCGUUCAUGGCCCAGAUGACGCACAGGCUUCUGACACCCUUUUGCACCCCCACAGCCAUCUCAAUUCCUUUGUGAUACACAAGAAUAGUUUCCCAAGGCCUGGGGUACCCCAACACAGAACGAGUGACACAGAGUCACACACUGAGAGGCUUACUCAUCUCUCCUUCCCUCCUCUGAUUGCAUCAAGGAGAAAGCCUCAGUUUAGGACCAGUCUUUAAUGACUUUUGAAUAUUUGCUAAUUCUCCCUUUUUAACAAAUUGCUUGGGCCUCAACCUCAGAUCUAGGCAGGCAAUAAAUAGCAUUUAACUGGAA